GAGUUUUUUGGGACAGUGUGACCUAACCUCAAAAAACAGUGUCAUUCAAUGCGUUUCGGGAGGAAGAAAAUUUCUUGGAUUUACCGUGGAAAAAGAUCUUUAGAAAUUUUCCUAACAACUGCAAAUUGUAUUUGAAGGAUUGUAAGUGUUGCCUAAAGUGUGUUCAAAGUGUAAAAUUAGAUAUUUUAGUGUGAAAAUGCGUGAAAAUAAUUUGGUGAAAAAUAUUUAUUGAAAAUUGUAGUAGUAGAACGGUGUGAAGUUUGCAGUAAAUGGUGAAUUUUGCGAUGGCGGCCAUGUUGUUCUAAGCUCGAACUGUCUCUCUUCAUCUCACUUUAUAUUGUCUCUCCAAUCGAGGGGUCAUUUACCCGUGCGUGUGUCUGGUGUGUCGAAAUAAAUCCAUUUUAUUCCCAAUAAGUGUGAAAAUUUUGGGUGAAAAACAUUCUCUGUGUCAUCGCAAAUGUGUAUGGAUUGUGUUUUGUGUGGAAUUUGACCUGGAGCUGCGGUGAAAAGUGCUAAAAAAGUUGAUUGAGAAAUCCACUGUGUUGAGAAAGGAGGAUUCUUAGUUGAGGCGACAUUGGUGUGUGCGAGGGAGAGGGCACGAGUGGGUGAGGUGCGGGUGUGAGUGAGAAGGUGCGAGGUGGAAAAAGGUGGAGAGCUGAAUAUUGACAAUUUUCUCUUUUGGGGUCCCGAUGCAAGUGUGAGAGGGUGUUGGGGAAUUAAAAACGCAGUUUUCCCCAUAUAUUCUACAUCGCAACAUCAUCAAAAUUGCAGUGAGACGAAUUUGAUGCAGCCUAGACACCGAAAAAGAGACACUUUUUUUUCUUCUAAAAUAAGAAUCUAAGAUUUAUGGUAUAUUUUCUUACCAUUGAAUUAGUUGUUGGAGAAGAAGGAGGAAUAUUUAAAAUUGGAAAGGAUAAAGUGGCUCUAUGUAGAGAAAUUUCCAAGGGAGCGAGGAGACACUCAAGUGAGACAAGAAAAAAUGGUGAAAAUGUUGGAAAUGCCGUUCCACAGUGUCCUAUUUUAACUUUAUUCGACACACACGUAGAAUUACGAAAAAAAGGGGAGGAUAAGAAGGAAUCAAGAGGUGGAUAAAAGUGUGGCGAGAGAAGAAGUCACCAAAAAUAGAUCAAGUGGAUUAUUGUCACUCCUGGAGAUUCCUUUUUGGGGAAGGAAGUCGUAAAGGAGGGAGCAAAUAAGAGAGGACCACGGACUUUUUGACUCAUUUGGUGGCUAAACUACUAUGCUAAUGGAUAAAACAAAUCAAAAAUUGGCUAUGUACGUGUGCAGUUCGGGUACAGAUCUGUCCCGACAACGUCAUGCGCCUCUGUAUGGUCGUCUGGUGGCUGAGGAACACCUCCCGGCCACUCAUCGUGAAAUUGUGCAACGCCUAUCAUCCCCAGCGGCUUCCUCCACGGACAUCCGUGCGAUGCAAUCGCGCAUCCCAAUGCACUUCAGGGAAUCCUCAACGGCGCCUCUGCGGAAGCUCAGUGUGGACUUGAUAAAGACCUAUAAGCACAUCAAUGAAGUUUACUAUGCAAAGAAGAAGAGACGCGCCCAACAGACGCACUGUGAUGAUUUGUCACACAAGAAGGAACGAAAGUUGUACAAUGAUGGCUACGAUGAUGAUAAUCAUGACUAUAUCAUAAAACAUGGUGAGAAAUUUCUCGAUAGAUAUGAAAUUGAUUCGUUAAUUGGCAAGGGGAGCUUUGGGCAAGUUGUAAAGGCAUUCGAUCACGAAGAGAAAUGCUACGUGGCGAUUAAGAUUAUAAAAAAUAAGAAGCCCUUCUUGAAUCAAGCGCAAAUUGAAGUGAGACUCCUGGAGAUGAUGAACAGAGCUGAUACGGAAAACAAAUACUACAUCGUUCGACUAAAGAGGCAUUUCAUGUGGCGAAAUCAUCUCUGUCUAGUAUUUGAACUUCUAUCCUAUAAUUUAUAUGAUCUACUGCGUAAUACAAAUUUUCGUGGAGUAUCACUUAAUUUAACCCGAAAAUUUGCUCAACAAUUAUGUACUGCAUUACUUUUUUUAAGUACCCCCGAACUGAGUAUAAUCCACUGUGAUCUCAAACCAGAGAAUAUUUUAUUAUGUAAUCCCAAGCGAUCCGCAAUUAAAAUAGUAGAUUUCGGAAGUUCAUGUCAGCUCGGACAGAGGAUAUAUCAAUACAUCCAAUCGCGCUUCUACCGUUCCCCCGAAGUCCUGCUUGGCAUCCCAUAUGACCUGGCGAUUGAUAUGUGGUCAUUGGGAUGUAUCCUGGUGGAGAUGCAUACGGGUGAACCACUGUUUUCCGGUUGCAACGAGGUAGAUCAGAUGAAUAAGGUGGUUGAGGUGCUGGGAAUGCCGCCAAAGCAUUUGCUGGAUCAGGCGCACAAAACCCGAAAAUUCUUUGACAAACUCCCCUCGGAUGGGAGUUAUGUGCUCAAGAAGAAUCACAAUGGGCGAAAGUAUAAGUUGCCGGGCACGAGGAAGCUCCAUGAAGUGUUGGGAGUUGAAACGGGAGGACCGGGAGGUAGAAGGGCAGGAGAACCUGGACAUUCGGUGUCCGAUUAUCUCAAAUUCAAAGAUCUAAUCUUUCGAAUGCUGGAAUUUGAUCCGAAAUUGCGCAUUACACCAUACUAUGCCUUGCAACAUAAUUUCUUCAAACGAACUUCCGACGAGAGCACCAACACCAUCAAUUCAGUCAACAGUAGUCCAUCGGUUAAUUUACAGGACCAACUCAUCCACGGUAUGUCCGCAGGAAGAUCUCAGGGUGGAGGGGAUUUUAGACUUGUCUAGAGGAGGAGGGGAUUAGACCACUAGGAGCCAAAAAAAAAAAAAAUGAAUAGAGAGAAAAAAAAACAGAGAAAUAAUGAAUACAGAGAAGGAAAGAAUUUUUUCCACAAUAAUGGGCUGGGAAAUGUCUUCUACGUGUUUGAUAAUAUUCAUUCGAUUGAAGAUUGAUUUCCCGGAAAUCACAGACACAAAAAAAUGCCAACAAGUGCAAGACUGCCAAUAAAUGACCGCCGAUGACUUGCCUUUGUGGAGGAGGGAGACAGCCUAGGACGAAAUUGAGGACAGGACAUGGCCAAAAAAGCAUCUGCCCCCUUCCACUCAGCAUCUGGUAACACACAAAAACAAAAAAAUCUCCUCACAUUCUUUCCGGGGGUAGUCAACAAAAGUAUUUUUGUAAUAUUGUCUCCGUUGAAGAUGAUGAAAAAGAAAAAACGAGAUGAAGACGAAGAAAAACGCGUAUAGUGGUAGAACAUUUUAUGAACCUUUUACCAAAAACGGAAAAAAUACAAUUUUUUUGAUUUUUGGUAAAAUGGAAAAAAAGCAAGAAAAAAAACUGAAGAUGAACACGAAGACGAUGAAAGGAGGAAGAAAAGGAUGAAACAAUGAGUAAACAACAUGAUGAAUAUUUAUAAAAAAAAAAAUGAUAGUGAGAAGUGAGAGUGAAGAUAAAUGAGAAAAAAAACAACUAAAUAGUAAUUAAAUAUUCAAAUGUAAAUUCAUUUUAGUAAUUAUUUGAAGAAAAACAAUAAAGUAAAAUAGUUGUAAUUUCCAA